AAUGCUGCGGGUUAUCUACAGCCGUAAAGAGGGCACUUCCUGUUUGCUUCUUUCUGGUACAGGAAUUAGCUCCUGGCAUAGUCUGGGAGCUGUGGGAGGCAGCAGGAAGUCCUACUGAUCAACCUCCAAGAGGAUGGAGAAAUCCUUCAUUCCUCCCCGCAGCCGCCACACCCAGGGGCAGCCUCCUGACUGGCUCCCCUGCUUCCUCUUCUGCCAUCUACAACCCAUUCUCCAUACAUUUUGCAGCUACCAGGACAGAACUUGCAUAGUCAACCAAUGUUCAAGUCUCCCAGAGGAAUAACAGAAGACCUACAGAGACUUAUUUCUCUUAACAGCCUUCUCAAGGAUCUACCCAUAAUAAAGGCCUGGGGAUCUGUUGGAUCCGAACUGUCUAGCAUGGACGUCGCGGGAGCACACGUGCUAGAGUGAGCCAACCCCUCCACAUGGAGGCAGGCCAGCGUUAAGGCAGAAAUCACUCUAUUUAAAGACUCUCAAAUGGUGAUUUAGGAUGUGGGCUUGAAGAGUAGCAAUGUUUAGCAGCAGUUUGACAUUAUUCUUUGUAUUACACUUGUGUUAACCUCAAGCCCUGAAGUUUUAUGUAAAAGCCACAGCCUGGCCUGAGGUGUGCCGCGGGCAAUGAAGAAGCACCCAUCUAAUGGCCAUGGGGCUGCAGUGCACUUUCUCUGAGGCAUAAGAGGAUUGAGCAGAAAUAGCUGGGCUUUCUUUUGCAAUGGAGGAGCACAGUGGCCACCACGUGGAAAGCAGGGACAGCGCCAGAGAGAACCAAAGAGACCUGCUCCAGAUCGCACACGAGGCAGUGUCCAGGAACUCCACAAAAAACCUGGCAAAAUACCCAGCCAAACGCAGCUGAAGGACAUUCUACACACAGGCUGGUACCCCUCAGGAAUGUCCAUUUCAUCAAAGGAACAGAGAGGGUGAGGACUAUUCCAAGGAAAAGGACAUGAGAGGCAUGACAACAAAAUUGAAGGGUGUGAUCCUGGACUGGCUCUUGGAUCAAAAAAAUAAAUGCCCUAGAGGACAUUUAAUUAUUGGCAUAAUUGGUGAAAUUUUCAUAUGAGGUGUAUGUUGGGUAAUAGAAAUGUGUAUUGCUGUUAAAUUUCCUGAAUUUGUUUAUUGAAUUAUGGUUAUGUAAGAGAAAGUUCUUGUCCUUAGGAGGCAUUUAGAAGUAUGAUCAGGUAUUUAAGAGUGAAAGGUCAGGGUCAUAUUGUGUGAAAGUUAUUUUCAAAUGGUUUAGCCAGAAAGUUAAUAAUGGUUGUGUGUGUGUGUGUGUGUGUGUGUGCAUAGAAAGAGAGAGAGAAAGGCAAAUGUGGCACUAAAGAACAAUAAUUUCAUGAGUAAUUACUCAAUGCAUAAUAAUUUAUUAUCAAAAGUGUGACUUUAGUAUAGAAAGUAGACUUUAUUUACAUGUAUCAAAUGGUAUAUCUUGGUAAGGUCUGCACCAUAUACAUCAUGUUCAUAAUCCUUAACAUUCAGAGGCACUUUGAUAAUCAUGCAUAGCACGUAGUAAUGCAUCCCUUUUUCUCCAUCUUGUAAUGGUGAUUUAGAUGUACAGUUUUCUAAUUGCUUGUUUCUUAUGUUAUGAUGGAAAACGGAUGUGUUGUUUGGCAUGAUUGCUUCACUUGCUACCCUGAAAAUACAUUGACUUCAAUCAUUUUUGGCAUCCCUAACACCUAGCAAUGUCCUCCUAAUGGUGGUUAACAAACAAAUCUACUGCAUGGAUUGAAUAGCUGUAUAAAUAGCAUGUAAAGGGGUCAAUGAAGUACCACCACGUUAAGAGAUACAUAGCACGGGCAUCUCCUGAUAAGAUCAGUGGACAGACGCCAUCUAGAAACAUCUCUUUCCACUUGUGUGCCAUGGUAUCCUCUUUAAUCCAGAUUCACAGCUGACUUUAGACCUGGUUCCUCUAUGACUUGGAGACACUCUAGUCUUAUUCCUUCCUAGUAAUGGAUCUCAGCAAAUGACUCUCCUUCUGAGCACUCCUUGUUUUUGGCAUUUGCUAAGUCCAUUAGUUCAGUUACAACCCUUGAGUAGGUAAAAAUUUUGACCUUCACCAUCCAGUUUAUUCCCUAAAGCAGACUUUUCUGUUAGAGACCACACUGAAUCACAUGUCAAGCCUAUUACAAAUUAUUGACCAAAACACAGAAUUCUUGACUGGAAAGAGAUAACUAUCAAACCUUCCUGGUUGGGAAUGUAUCCAGUGGGAGACACAUGUUAUAGGCAGAAUAGGCAGAGUAGAAUGGGUACAUGUUAGCCAAAGCCAAAAAAGAGUGUCUGUACAUUUUAAGGACUAUAGUCAUCUUUUUGCUUUUCCUCCUGUUUUUGAGGUUGCCAUAAAUAUGCACAUAAUUCAAAAUUCCUUAAGUAUCAGGGAGUAUUUGUUAACUUACUCUCCUCCCAGUAUUCUUACAUUAUCAAAAUUACAUCUUAAAUAUGAUUUAGGUUUUUUUGUUUUUAAUUUUUUAAUUUUUUUUUAUUUUUACAGUCACAUAGUAGGUACAUUUUUAUGCGGUACAUGAGAUAUUUUGAUAUAGGCAUACAAUGUGUAAUAAUCACAUCAAGGUAAAUGGGGUAUCUAUAACCUUAAGUAUUCAUUAUUUCUUUGUGUUAGAAGCAUUCCAGUUACACUCUUUUAGUUAUUUAAAAGUGUACAAUAAGUUGUUGUUGACUGUAGUUAUCUUGUUGAAUAAAGAUCAAAUACUAGAUCUUUAUUCAUCCUAUCUAACUAUAUUUUUUGUACCCAUUAAUUAUUCCCAUUUCCUUCUCCCUCCCAAAGUGUGAUUUGAUUAAUGAAUAAACAAAUGAGACUCCAGGCCAAGAAGUGCUCAGUUCUAAGUGUCUUACUCCAAUGUAUUAUUGAUUUAAAUAUGACCAUCCAUUUCAUAAAGAAAAAGAUUAAGGGCAAUAAGGGUAGUAAUUCAUAUUCAGAGAUGAAGAAUACGGCAGACAUAAAUUCUUACUUGGCAGCUGUUAAAAAGUUAAUGGAUAAAAAGAAAAAACAACCAGUCAUUUUCUAUUUCACCUUGUUUUCUCCCUAGGUGAUGUUUAUCAGAUUCUAAAAGCUCAAACAAAGGCUUUGGUUAAGUCUUGAAUGAGAGAGAAUUUUAUGAGAACCCCUAGCUGCCAGAAACACUGACAUAAUUGAGCCACUAUCUGAAAUUGUUGUGAACAAGAAGCUAAGUAUUGCGUAAGGGUGGGC
rnacentral:lncRNA from 1 species